rnacentral:rRNA from 1 species
GAUUAUGGCUCAGAACGAACGCUGGUGGCGUGUCUUAUACAUGCAAGUCGAGCGAGGCAGCAAUGCCGAGCGGCGAACGGGUGAGUAACGCGUAAGCAAUCUGCCCCAUAUCAGGAAAUACCCGUGCCAACGCGCGGUUAAUGUCCAGGAGAGUGGCCCUCUGCAUGGAGGGUUGACUAGAGAUUUAUCGGUAUGGGAUGAGCUUGCGUCCGAUUAGCUAGUUGGCGGGGCAACGGCCCACCAAGGCGACGAUCGGUAGCCGGCCUGAGAGGGUGAUCGGCCACAUUGGGACUGAGAUACGGCCCAGACUCCUACGGGAGGCAGCAGUAGGGAAUAUUGCACAAUGGGGGAAACCCUGAUGCAGCAACGCCACGUGUGGGAAGAAGCAUUUCGGUGUGUAAACCACUGUCAUGAGGGAAUAAGGCCCAGUUUAGGCUGGGAUUGAAUGUACCUUGAGAGGAAGCACCGGCAAACUUCGUGCCAGCCGCCGC